GCUAAGGUGUUGUUUUGUGUCCUGGAGAUGGCUACAACAUCGACCAUGUUCGGUCUAACAGACUGCUCCCCCAUAUGCCUGCACUGUCUUGUGUUGCUGUCUGUUGCUGUGAGCUACCCAUAGUUACUGUAGGUUGUUGCUAAGGGAGAUAGACAGGCUCAAGGUUGGCAUGCUGGUGGAUAUAGAUACUCUCCACACCAACUCAGACCUACAAUAAGGAGCCAGAGCAACAAAUACAGUGUGUACAAGUCCAUCGUGGGGAAUAGCCACAGCUUCCACAUGUUCCCUCACAGCCACUGCAUGCUGCCUGUGCGGGUGCGCACCGUCCUGAACAAGAUCCACGUAACCUGCAGCCAGUUUGACCACUGGGAAAACGAAGUGCGGCGCUCCGGGGACAUGAGGGGAAGCAGGUCCCACUCCUCUGAGGGCCAUCGUGAGGCCCUUAUCCAUCCUCAUGGCUUAGGCAAGAGAGACUGGGCUCUGGAAGAUGUACUGUACGACAACAAAGCCUCAUAGAUAACCUGACUGUCUGGGUGUUGUUAUCACCGUGCUCCAAGUAUUUGGGCAUCUUGUCUAGAGCAGAGCGAUGUUUGGUUUGACCUAGAUAGGUAUCUUUUGACGUGUAUUGGCUCUCCAUGUAUCUGUGUUGUAAGUUUUUGUAGCAGUUGAAAGACUGAACCUGAGAGAGGCACAUCAUCUAAGUAUAACGGUGGCUUCCCCCUUGUGUUCCAGGAGGGGCUCAUCCAUUCAUCCAUCUACCCAUCUAUUUACUAAUCUAUUCAUUGAUUAAUUGAUUGAUUCAAUAAUUCAUCCAUUCAGCCAUCAACCCAUCCAUCCAUUCAUCUACUCUUCUGUUCAUUCAUCCAACCAUCCAUGUAGUAGUCUGUAGCCAGCUCAUGUCACUGUUUUCUUUGAAAAUAUGAACAGUUUAUCUAACAAUAUACAAUCUAAUUACAUUUAACUUUAGUUGACAGUUCUACAUCAGUUUCAGAAGUUAACUUUCACUGUUUUCCUCAAAUAAUACACAUAUGUAAGUGUGCUCCAGCAAA